CCUCCGGGUGGCAGCAGUGAGGAAUAUUGGUCAAUGGCCGGAAGCCUGAACCAGCCAUGCCGCGUGAAGGUCAGUGCCCUAUUGGCGUUUAACUUCUUUUUUGCGGGAGCAAUAAUGGUCACGUGUGGCCAGACGAGAGUACCGUACGAAUAAGCAUCCGCUAACUCCGUGCCAGCAGCCGCGGUAAUACGGGGGAUGCAAGCCUUAUCCGGAUUUAUUGGGUGUAAAGGGUUCAUAGGCUGUGAAGUAAGUCAGCGGUGAAAUGCCACCGGUCAACGGGGUGAAGUGCCAUUGAUACUGGGUGUCGGGAAUGAGGGAGCAGUAGGAGGAAUGUGGGGUGUAG
rnacentral:rRNA from 1 species